rnacentral:lncRNA from 1 species
GUAAACAGUGAGCGUGGCCUUGGGAAGACAGCCCUCCCACCCUGGUGCCUUGGUUGGCUCAUUCAGAAAUGAUGACGUCCAUUUUUCCGCCCUCCCCUACCUGACAUUCCAAUCACCUUUGUUGACUUUCUGUGUACAGGAUGGUGGAGCAAACAUUUCCCAAAUUCCUGGAAACCUGUCUAGGUCUGCCAGUACCAAGCAGUGUGGCCCUGGAUCUUCUGGUUUUUGUUGUUGAGUCAGGGGCUCAUCCUCUGUUACAUGUAUUGAGUUGCUCUUCAGGGACCCUUCAGCUCAUUCUCUGAAAAAUAUAAAAAUCCAACUCCAGCCCAUGCUUCAGGAGUCCCCCAGACUCAUCCUUCCUUCCAUGGUCCAGGGCGAGGAGGAGUGGAGGGCACACAUCUCCUGGAGGAUACGACUACUUGAUCAAGACUUCAUCUUGAUUAUCCCAUUACAGACCCUAUCAGUCAGUAAACUGUUGGAUGUGCCAGCACAAGGGCCUGGGGUUGGAUCUCCAGUGCUCACGUAAGAGGUGGGUUAUGGUGGCCAGUGUCUGUAGUCCCAGCUACAGGGUGGAGAGAGAGGCUUGGUGCCAGGAGGUGAGGCAGAAGA